rnacentral:rRNA from 1 species
CAGACUCCUACGGGAGGCAGCAGUAGNGAAUAUUGGUCAAUGGGCGAGAGCCUGAACCAGGCAUGCCGCGUGCAGGAUGACGGCCUUCUGGGUUGUAAACUGCUUUUAUACUGAAGAANACACCUGCGCGAAGGAAUUC